rnacentral:rRNA from 1 species
AUUGAACGCUGGCGGCAGGCCUAACACAUGCAAGUCGAGCGGAUGAAGGGAGCUUGCUCCUGGAUUCAGCGGCGGACGGGUGAGUAAUGCCUAGGAAUCUGCCUGGUAGUGGGGGAUAACGUCCGGAAACGGGCGCUAAUACCGCAUACGUCCUGAGGGAGAAAGUGGGGGAUCUUCGGACCUCACGCUAUCAGAUGAGCCUAGGUCGGAUUAGCUAGUUGGUUGGGUAAAGGCCUACCAAGGCGACGAUCCGUAACUGGUCUGAGAGGAUGAUCAGUCACACUGGAACUGAGACACGGUCCAGACUCCUACGGGAGGCAGCAGUGGGGAAUAUUGGACAAUGGGCGAAAGCCUGAUCCAGCCAUGCCGCGUGUGUGAAGAAGGUCUUCGGGUUGUAAAGCACUUUAAGUUGGGAGGAAGGGCAGUAAGUUAAUACCUUGCUGUUUUGACGUUACCAACAGAAUAAGCACCGGCUAACUUCGUG